GGCGCUGUGGCUUAGCAGGUAAAGCCGCCACCUGCAGUGCUGGCAUCCCAUAUGGCCCUGGUUCAAGUCCCGGCUGCUCCA
rnacentral:tRNA from 1 species